rnacentral:rRNA from 1 species
AACGAACGCUGGCGGCAGGCUUAACACAUGCAAGUCGAGCGAGACCUUCGUGUCUAGCGGCUGUCGGGUGAGUAACGCGUGGGAACGUUCCCUUCUCUACCGAAUAGCCCUUUGAAACUGGGAGUAAUACCGUAUACGCCCCGUGGGUGAAAGAUUUAUCGGAGAAGUAUCGGCCCGCGUUGGUUUAGGUAGUUGGUGGGGUAAUGGCCCACCAAGGCUACGAUCCAUAGCGGGUUUGAGAGGAUGAUCAGCCACACUGGGACUGAGAAACGGCCCAGACUCCUACGGGAGGCAGCAGUGGGGAAUCUUGGACAAUGGGGGCAAUCCUGAUCUAGCCAUGCCGCGUGAGUGAUGAAGGCCUUAGGGUUGUAAAGCUCUUUCAGCUGCGAAGAUAAUGACGGUACCCGCAGAAGAAGCCCCGGCUAACUUCGUG